AUGAACGCUGGCGGCGUGCCUCAUACAUGCAAGUCGAGCGAACGGACGAGAAGCUUGCUUCUCUGAUGUUAGCGGCGGACGGGUGAGUAACACGUGGAUAACCUACCUAUAAGACUGGGAUAACUUCGGGAAACCGGAUCUAAUACCGGAUGAUAUUUUGAACCGCAUGGUUCAAAAGUGAAAGACGGUCUUGCUGUCACUUAUAGAUGGAUCCGCGCUGCAUUAGCUAGUUGGUAAGGUAACGGCUUACCAAGGCAACGAUGCAUAGCCGACCUGAGAGGGUGAUCGGCCACACUGGAACUGAGACACGGUCCAGACUCCUACGGGAGGCAGCAGUAGGGAAUCUUCCGCAAUGGGCGAAAGCCUGACGGAGCAACGCCGCGUGAGUGAUGAAGGUCUUCGGAUCGUAAAACUCUGUUAUUAGGGAAGAACAUAUGUGUAAGUAACUGUGCACAUCUUGACGGUACCUAAUCAGAAAGCCACGGCUAACUACGUG
rnacentral:rRNA from 1 species